rnacentral:rRNA from 1 species
GACGAACGCUGGCGGCGUGCCUAAUACAUGCAAGUUGAGCGCUGAAGGUUGGUACUUGUACCAACUGGAUGAGCAGCAAACGGGUGAGUAACGCGUGGGGAAUCUGCCUUUGAGCGGGGGACAACAUUUGGAAACGAAUGCUAAUACCGCAUAAAAACUUUAAACACAAGUUUUAAGUUUGAAAGAUGCAAUUGCAUCACUCAAAGAUGAUCCCGCGUUGUAUUAGCUAGUUGGUGAGGUAAAGGCUCACCAAGGCGAUGAUACAUAGCCGACCUGAGAGGGUGAGCGGCCACAUUGGGACUGAGACACGGCCCAAACUCCUACGGGAGGCAGCAGUAGGGAAUAUUCGGCAAUGGACGAAAGUCUGACCGAGCAACGCCGCGUGAGUGAAGAAGGUUUUCGGAUCGUAAAACUCUGUUGGUAGAGAAGAACGUUGGUGAGAGUGGAAAGCUCAUCAAGUGACGGUAACUACCCAGAAAGGGACGGCUAACUACGUG